rnacentral:rRNA from 1 species
CCUACGGGGGGCAGCAGUGGGGAAUAUUGCACAAUGGGGGAAACCCUGAUGCAGCGACGCCGCGUGAGUGAAGAAGGAUUUCGGUAUGUAAAGCUCUAUCAGCGGGGAGGAAAAAAGACGGUACCUGACUAAGAAGCCCCGGCUAACUACGUGCCAGCAGCCGCGGUAAUACGUAGGGGGCGAGCGUUUUCCGGAUUUACUGGGUGUAACGGGGGCGCAGACGGCAAUGCAAGCCAGGAGUGAAAGUCCGGGGCCCAACCGCGGGACUGCUCUUGGAACUGGAUGGCUGGAGUACAGGAGGGGCAGGCGGAAUUCCUAGUGUAGCGGUGAAAUGCGUAGAUAUUAGGAGGAACACCGGUGGCGAAGGCAGCCUGCUGGACUGUGACUGACGUUGAUGCCCGAAGGCGUGGGGAGCAAACAGGAUUAGAUACCCCUGUAGUC